rnacentral:tRNA from 1 species
GGCGAGAUGCCGGAGCGGUUUAACGGGACGCACUCGAAAUGCGUUGUGUCCUUAGGGCACCGGGGGUUCGAAUCCCUCUCUCGCCG